AUACUCUGGUUUCUCUUCAGAUCAUAUAAAUCUUUUGCCUUUUACUAAAGAUUUCCAUGGAGAGGAACAACUCUGAUGGUGGGAUCACGCCUAUGGUUCAUCUUAUAAGGGUCCAUGUGACUCUUU
rnacentral:snRNA from 1 species